UUAAGAGACUUAAAAAGUGACAACCUAUAAUUACUCAAACAUGUCAACAUGCACAGUGACAGUGAAAGCUUACCCACUCUACCCUGUCAGUGUGCCUUGACCCUGGCCUGGAGGGACUACCUUUUGCUGAUGGAGGAUAAUCCAGUUUCCAUACCUAUUUAGACUAUGCCAUUU
ensembl:misc_RNA